GAUGUACGCUGGCGGCGUGCCUAAUACAUGCAAGUCGAACGAAACUUCUUUAUCACCGAGUGCUUGCACUCACCGAUAAAGAGUUGAGUGGCGAACGGGUGAGUAACACGUGGGCAACCUGCCCAAAAGAGGGGGAUAACACUUGGAAACAGGUGCUAAUACCGCAUAACCAUAGUUACCGCAUGGUAACUAUGUAAAAGGUGGCUAUACUACCGCUUUUGGAUGGGCCCGCGGCGCAUUAGCUAGUUGGUAGGGUAAAGGCUUACCAAGGCAAUGAUGCGUAGCCGAAGUGAGAGGAGGAUCGGCCACAUUGGGACUGAGACACGGCCCAAACUCCUACGGGAGGCAGCAGUAGGGAAUCUUCCACAAUGGGCGAAAGCCUGAUGGAGCAACGCCGCGUGGGUGAAGAAGGUCUUCGGAUCGUAAAACCCUGUUGUUAGAGAAGAAAGUGCGUGAGAGUAACUGUUCACGUUUCGACGGUAUCUAACCAGAAAGCCACGGCUAACUACGUG
rnacentral:rRNA from 1 species